rnacentral:lncRNA from 1 species
GCAAGACCCGGUCUCAAAAAAAAAAAUUGCCUCAGUUGGCUGGGCGCUGUGGCUCAUGCCAGUAAUCCCAUCGCUGUGGGAGGAGCCUUUGAGGCCAGGAGUUUGAGACCAGCCUGGGCAACUUAGUGAAACUCUGUCUCUACAAAAAAUUUUAAAAAUUAGCCGGCCAUGCUGGUCCAUGCCUGUAGUUCCAGUUAUUUGGGAGACUAAAGUGGGAAAAUUGGUUGAGCACAGGAAGUUGAGGCUGCAGUGAGCUAGGAUUGCACCACUGCACUCUAACCUGGGCAAGAAUGAAACCCUGUCACACAAAAAAAGAAAAGUGGGGGGAGGGUGUGAAAUAAACCUGUGUUUUGUUUUGUUUUGUUUUCCUUUUAGAUUGAAUAAGAAGGUUUUGUUUCGUUGUUUGGCAUGGAGGGGGUGCGUGUUUGUCCUUAUCCUCCUUCCCAUGGUGAGGCACUGAUGCAGAGUGUGUGUGGCGUCUCCCCUAGCCCCUUGGCUGGCAGAGAGCCUCACGUCCCACCUACUUUUUCUUGCCUCACAGUCACAAGAGCAUCAAACCACAGCAACAGCAGAUGGAACAAGGCUUCUAUUCCGAGUCAACAGAAUCAACGGGCCAGCUACAAGUGGGAGGCAAGUGGGAAAGAAGCUCUGUGUUAA